rnacentral:lncRNA from 1 species
ACCCACCUCCCAAAAAAAAGAGGAGCUACCAGACUUUUCCCUUGGGACUUAAACCCCCAACAUGGAUGUUUCUUCCCACUAGCCUAUCCUUCAUUGUCAUCAAAAUAGGCUUACAAAGAUGAACAUAUAAUACAAAAGACGUUAAUACAGUUGCAGGUUAAUAAGCUGAGCCUGCUGAUCUGGUUUCCCACUGUAAAAGAAGUAAUACGUACCACACAAAGAGUUCUAAAUUUAGAGAGUCUACACUUGUUUUUAAGGAAAUUUCAAAAUAAAAUUUUUUAACCAAACUAUUGGACUUCUUACUAUACUGUGGGAACUGUCACUUAAGCUGAAAAUACCAUCAUACUACACCUACAACAACAACAACAACCACCCAGUAUAUUCCCACCAGGUGGGGUCUGGGGAGGGUAAUAUGUAGACGAGCCUUACCCCUCCAGUAUAUUCCCACCAGGUGGGGUCUGGGGAGGUUAAUAUGUAGACGAGCCUUACCCCUACCCGAAAGGGUAGAGAGGCGGUUUCCAUUCGACCCUCGGCGCAUAGGAUAAAAUGAAAAGCUGCAUUAAAACAAAAACAAAAUGAUUAGCAAGCCUUCAAC